GAUGAAAGAGUGCUAAAAUUCAAAAAAUGCACUUUAAGGAUGCUUGAUAUAUUCAAAGAAAAGGCUCUGAAAAUUUUAAAAAUUACAAAAUAAACAGAAGGGAGGAGCUUUUAAUUCUAGAAAAUUAAAUUGAGCUCAGAGAAGAAAACAUUUAUUUUACACAAGUCAUGCCUGAAGAAGACACAGAAAGCUGUCGAAACGUCGCGAUAAAAGGCUUGUGUACUUGUAUAUAGUUUAAAAUCUCAUAUUUUAGGCAAAAACAAAUAGUUUAAAGUUAAUGAUGGAUUCUUUUAUUACAAACACACAGCUUUUUGCUUCACAUGACGUUAAUUGAUGGACUGGAGUCAUGUGGAUUACUUGUGGAUUAUUGUGAUGGUCAUGUGGAUUAAUAUGUGUUGUAAAAUAAAACAAAGGGGUGCUAAAAACACAAAUAAGUGUGUGAAAGUAAAAAAAAAAAUGGGUCUGUGAAGAUAGUAACACAAAAAAGUGUACACUAAAACAAAAAAAUUAAACUUAUUAGAGUGUGUAAGUGUACAGUGUCUGCGUUCUCUUUGCCCCCAUAAUUUUUCUCUGCCCAGGAAGAGGCCACCUCGAAGGCCCGAGGCCAAUUUGUUUAUUUUUGAAUUUUUAAUAUUUUUAAUUUUUUUGUUUUAGUGUACACUUUUUUGUGUUACUAUCUUCACAGACCCAUUUAUUUUUUUUUACUUUCACACACUUAGUUGUGUUUUUAGCACCCCUUUGUUUUAUUUUACUAAACAUAUUAAUCCACAUGACCAUCACAAUAAUCCACAAGUAAUCCACAUGACUCCAGUCCAUCAAUUAACGUCACGUGAAGCAAAAAUCUGUGUGUUUGUAAUAAAAGAAUCCAUCAUUAACUUUGAACUAUUUGUUUUUGCCUAAAAUAUAAAAAAAAUUCAAAAUUCAAAAAUAAACAAAUUGGCCUCGGGCCUUCGAGGUGGCCUCUUCCUGGGCAGAGAAAAAUUAUGGGGGCAAAGUGAACGCAGACACUGUAGAACAAGCAGAAGCUCUUAUCACAGCUGAAUUGUUUGAGGAGGAAACAGUGCCACAUCCACAAAGCCCAGGAAAUCAGGGACCAGCGGGCCCUCACACAUAUGCGCAAGUGGCAGCCUCCAGACCCCCAACUGCUACAGUAGCUCCCCCUACUAAAAAAUUAAAUUGAGCUCAGAGAAGAAAACAUUUAUUUUAUUU